rnacentral:rRNA from 1 species
UACGUAGGGUGCAAGCGUUGUCCGGAAUUAUUGGGCGUAAAGAGCUCGUAGGCGGCUUGGUAAGUCGGGUGUGAAACCUCCAGGCUCAACCUGGAGACGCCACUCGAUACUGCCAUGGCUAGAGUCCGGUAGGGGCCCACGGAAUUCCUGGUGUAGAGGUGAAAUUCGUAGAUAUCGGGAGGAACACCAGUGGCGAAGGCGGCUCUCUGGACAGGUACUGACGCUGAGACGCGAAAGCGUGGGUAGCAAACAGG